rnacentral:lncRNA from 1 species
AUGGGAACUUGCAACAGGAACAGAAAUUCUCAAGGAAUGGGACUUGAGAAACUGUUUUCAGACUGCCAUGUUGAGAUGAGGCUUUGGAUGGACAGACACUGCUGGAUGUGGUUCAUGGUGUGCAUAGGGAUGGUCCUUUGUUAUUCAGCACAAGGAAAUUAUGAACACUAUUUUGAAAUACUGGAGGAUUUAUUGCCAGCAGAUUAUAUGUUUAAGAAGCCAGAAAGCAGAAACUGUGUUGACAAGAAAUGCAACUGUUCUGAAGUGACUGAAAUACUUUGCUGUUUCCUCCAGAGGGAGCAAACUAGAACAUGCAAAAAAAAUUGCAUGCUCCCUAAUUGUGCGACAUGUUGUAACUACACUCAUAAUCUCCAGGAAAACAUAAAGGGACUGCUUAAUGGGAUGAUUUCCUGUCAUGAAUGCAAAGAGCUCAAUUGUACUCUCCUUAAAGAAACACAGAUGGUCAAUUUCACAGAAUUCAGAAGGAAAUAUAAAGAAUGCCAAGACGAGCGGCAAAACUGUACAGUUACACCCACACCAAGGAAAGCUCUGGAAUUCUCCACGGGCACUAUGGGCACUACAAACACUACGAGCAGUACGAACAUUAUGAGCACUACGAGCGCUACGGGGAAUACGAACACUAUGGGGACUACGAGCACUAUGAGCACUAGAAGCACUACGCGGACUACGAACACUACGGGGAUUACAAACACUACGAGCCCUACGAGCACUACGAGGAGUAUGAACACUACGAACACUACGAGCCCUACGAACACUACGAGCCCUACGAACACUACGAGCCCUACGAACACUACGAGCCCUACGAACACUACGAGCCCUACGAACACUACGAGCACUACGCGGACUGCGAACGCUACGGGGACUACGAAGACUACGAGCGCUACGGGGACUACGAGCACUACAAGCAAUAUGCCGCGAGUGAGCACGAUAUUGUAUCCAAGCAGUCCAGCCUCCAGCAAACCAGAACCUUCCUCCACAAGUCUUACAACAGAAUUGCAAACAACAGAUUCAACAGUAACAACGACAAAAUCCCCAACGACAUCCAAAUCACAGUCAGGUAACGGAACCCUGUGCAGUCCGCAGCUCCCAGGAACUGAAAUGUCUAACAUUUUGAAAGCUUCACAAGCAGGUGUGAUUUCAUCACUGACUGCAUUCAUAAUCCUCGUACUGCUUGUAUGCUACCUCUACCUUGAAAACAGACGACUGAAAAGACUGAUGAGAAACCGAAAACAUGUGAAUACACUAUGAGUGGGUCGUCUGACAUGUACCCACAAGCUGCCUUGAGCUGUCUUGAUCAGACAUGUAGUGUGGCUACUAGAGCGCAUUGCCCAACACAAAGGAACUUUUGUUGCUUAACAUCUUAUCUUAUCUCUAAGGGCUAAAAUAUGGGGACUGCGAAACUAGAUCUUUUUAUUUUGCUGACAUUCUUGUAUAAAAUGUUAAAAUAAACUUAGCAAACCCAUCCA